rnacentral:misc_RNA from 1 species
ACCAUUCCAAGGUACCCGAAGAUUGAUUUGUUCGAGCUUGCUGAAAUUGUAGUACUAAUUAUUCCAAAACCUGGUAUAAUUAAUAUGUAAACCUCUGGAUGACCAAAGAAUCAGAAAAGGUGUUGGUAUAAUAUUGGGUCUCCUCCACCUGCUACUUCGAAGAAUGAUGUAUUAAAAUUCCUAUCUGUUAAAACCAUAGUAAUAGCUCCAGCUAAUACAGGUAAAGAUAAAAGUAAUAAUACUGCUGUAACCACG